UGAUCUCACAUGGUAUUUUUCUUUCUCUUUCUGGCUUACUUCACUUAGAAUGGCAUUCUCCAGGAGCAUCCAUGUUGCUGCAAAUGGCGUUAUGUUGUCGGUUUUUAUGGCUGAAUAGUAUUCCAUUGUAUAAAUAUACCACAUCUUCUUUAUCCAGUCAUCUGUUGAUGGACAUUUAGGCUGUUUCCAUGUCUUGGCUGUUGUAAAUAGUGCUGCUAUGAACAUUGGGGUGCAGGUGUCAUCCUGAAGUAGGGUUCCUUCUGGAUAUAUGACCAGGAGAAAAGUUUUAUGUCUUUUAAAGAAGCUGAGAUCUACUCUCCCUCUACCAGAGAGAAAAUAUAUUUAUAAAGCUUGUUAUAUCAAAAUUCUUGUUUACCAUUUCUAGUUCUCUUCACUGAGAGGAUUCAAGUCACCACCAGAAAUUUGUCAUUUUAUCACAGCUGUGCCCACACCCCUCCUCUGUGCUGUUAUUGUUAAAGAUACUACAUUUUUAUGUGUUAAAGGCCCAACAGCACGAUGCUAAUUAUAUGGUUUUAUGCAAUUCCUUUUUCAAAAGACAAGUUUUAAAAUAGCAGUUUUAGGUUCACAGCAAAAAUCGAGAGGGAAGUACAGAGGUUUCCCAUAAAGCCGCACCCCCGGUGCGUGAUGCACAGCCUCCCCCGUCAUCAGCAGCCCCGCCAGACGGCACGUUUGUUACACCUGAGGAGACGCGUGGACACGCACCGCCCAAAGCGCAGUUUACAUCAGGGUUCGCUCUCGGCGCCGCGGUCUGUGGCUCUGGACAAGUUACAGGGGUGCGUGUCCAGUACAGUGUCAGGCCGAGUAUUUUAGUGGCCCUGAAAGUCGCCCAUGCGCCACCUGUUCAUCGCUCCCCCCGCCACCCCUGGCAAGCACUGAUCUUUUUACUGUCUCUGUGGUUUUGUCUUUCCCAGAGUGUCAUGCAGUUGGAAUCCUACAACAUGUGACCUUUUCAGAUUGGCUUCUUUCAUUUAGUAAUCUGCAUUUAAAUUCCCCCCAUGUCUCUUCAUGACUUGAAGCUCAUUUAUUUUUAGUGCUGAAUAGUCUUACACUGUCUGGCUGUUCCCCAGUGUAUUUCUCCAUGUACCUACUGCAUGGCAUCUCUGUUGCUUCCAAGUUCUGGCAGUUGUGAGUAAGGCUGCUAUAAAUAUCCACGUGCAGGUUUUGUGUGGAGGUGAGUUUUCAGCUCCUUUGGGUAAACAUCAGGGAGCACGACUGCUGCAUUAGAAUUGUUUAGUUUUGUAAAAAUGCCAACUAUCUUCCGAAGCAGCCGUGCCAUCCUGCACGGCCGCCAGCCACGGAGGAGGGUUCCUGUUCUGCGUCCUUACCCGACCCUGGCGGUCCUGGUCAGGUGUGUGGUGGUACCUCGCUGUUGUUUUAAUUGCAUCUCCCUGAUGACGUAAGACCUGGAGCAUCUUUUCCUGUGCUUAUUUGCCAUCUGCAUGUCUUCUUUGGGGAGGUGCCUAUUAAGUUCCUUUGAGCCUUUUUUUUAUAUGGGUCGCUUGCCUCCUGUGGUUGAGCCUCGUGUGUACUUUGGCUAACAGCCCUUUAUCAGGUGUGUCCUUUGCAAAUAUUUUCUCGCAGUCUGUGGUUUACCUUCCCGUUCUCUUGACAGUGUCUUUUGCAGAGCAGACAUUUAACAUUUUUACGUCCAGCUUCCCAGUUCUUCCUUUCUCAGAUCACAGCUUUGGUGUUGCAUCUAGAAGUCAUUGCCAAACCCAGGAUCACCGAGGCCUCCUCCUGCGUGAUCUGCUUUACAUUUAGGCCUGGGAUCCACUUUGAGUUAAUUUUUGUGAAGGGUGUAGAUCUGUGUGUAGAUUCUUCUUCUUUCUUCAUGUGGAUGCCCAGUUGUUCCUGCACCAUUUGAUGAAAAGAUGCAAUUACUUUUUAAGUAGGUGAUAAGAAAGGAGAAGAAAUAUGCAGUUACGUUGUUUUCCGUAAGUACCUACCUAGUGACCUUUCCUGGCAAUCUUUGUGUUCUUGGUGUGUAUGGAUCUGAAUGAUUGCUUCCAGCCUGAAGCGCCUCCCUCAGUAUAGUUUCUUUCCAAGGCAGGUGUGCCAGCGACAAGCUUCUCCGGUAUUGUUUAUCUGGAAAUGUCUUCACGUCACCUUCACUGCUGAAAGGCAGUUUCGCUGGAUGUAAGGAUCUUGUUUCACUUCUUCCUUCGGCACUUGCAGAGCGUCUCCCCCGCUUUCUGGUCUCCACUCUUUCUGAUGAGAAGUUUGCUGUUAGUCUUGCUGGGAUUCCCUGGUAUGUGACAUAGUUUUUCCCUUGCUGUUUUCAAGAUUUUCUCUGUGUCUUUAGCUUUUGACACGCUGUCUACGACGUGUCUGGAUGCGAGUCUCUGUGCGUACCCUGUGUGGAGUUUGUUGAGCUUCUUGGAUGUGUAGAUUCAUUGUUUUUUUUUUUUUUUAAAUCCAAUCUGAGGCAUUUUCAGGCAUUAUUUCUUUGAAUUUCUUUUUCUGCGCCCUCUCUCUCUCCUCUCCUCCAGGUACUCCCACCGGGUGCCUGUUCACGAGGUCGGUGGUGCCCCACCUCUCUCCCAGCUUCUGUUCGUUUUCUUCUGAAUUCCCUUCUCUCUGUUCUUCGGUGUUUGGCCUCUGCCAGUGUGUCUGGGCUAACGCCGGGACUCCUUCACCAGAGGGUCCUGCACGCCUGUGGGCGCAGCCUGGCUCUGGGGACUGGGGGCUCUGAGUGGUGGGCAGAGAGCGUUGUCUUCAGAGCGCUCUCAGAGGAGUCCUGAAGCUUCACAUCCUCACAGGCUGAAGCUUCGCAGACUCAUCCUGCUCCAGGGUGGCUCCUCACCAGCUCCCCGGUCAUUUUCUGGGAGUUGGCCUGGUGCUGUGCCUUUCCACAGGGGCCCCCAGAAGGCUCCACACAGCCUCCGACAGCUCCCGGUGGUACCUGCUGUGAAGGCAGAGGGCAGCGGUGAUGCACGGACAGCGGGCCUUGGCUCAGUGCUGAGGGGCCGCCCUGCCCGCUGAACUUUCCUGUGCUGCUGGGCUGAUCUGGGACGUCUGCCCGCCCCCUGGCCUGCCUACGGCUGCUCCAGGAGGGCAGUGACCUUGGCCUUUCCCCUCCAGGAGGACCAGGGUAUCAGGUCUCCAAACAAGCCUUACCCAGUGCCCCCACCCCCAUUUAACAGGUGCUUAGAGAAAUAAUUUUUGGAUGAAAACCUGCUUAGUUUGUCCCUGUCCCCCAGAAUGGAAAGGAAGGUUGUGGGUGGGUGAGAGCACUGGGCUGAGAGUCAAAUCUCAGCCUAACUCUGCCCUGUACUGGCUGUGUGACUGGAAGUCAGCUGCUCCACCUGUUUCCAGACCCGGGUGCUUAUGAGCUGCUCAGUGACUGUGUCUUCCCCUUUCCAGUUCCUCAUGGCAUGUCUGUACUCACUUACUGUACGACAAAGUCUUUUUAACUUCCUUCUUCUCAUCUUAGCCACAUCUAUGUCAAGCCCUCCAGGCUGAAGCGAAGGCUCCGUGUGUGCGCACACGUGUGUGCGUGGUAUGCACGUGUGUGUGUGCACAUGGCAGAUCAGACGCAACCCAGUGCAAAGUGGAUACCCCUCCGGCAUUCUGACUACCAGGUACCGUGUUUUGUGCCCUGAUUUCUCAUCCUUAUUAUCUGUGGUCUCUUUGCUCAGGAAUAAAAAGGAAAAUUGGGCUAAAGACUCAUACAAAAGUUAAUCUGAGCGAUUGAAGCCCGCUUCCCAGAAAUGCAAAGAUGACUUCAAAGGGCUGUUACCCCGGAGUUACCAGGGAGGACACCUGUCUCAGGAGGCACUGGCGGCUGCUCCUGCUUCUUCAGCUGCUUCGUUAACUCGAGCAGGAGUCCUGGGCCAGCUUUCAGGUGAGCUGCUGGCUGUGUUUCCUCAAGGGGAGAGCUGGGAGCCCAGCUGCUGUCACUCCCGGUAGCAGUUGGCAGCUCCCCCAUCCGCUUUUUAACCUGGACGGGCUCAGCCCUGACAUCUGUUGGAGCUGCUGUGGUGCUCACAGGAGUGCAGGCUUCCCCUGCUGCUUCUUCCCCACCUUGCCCGGGUGGGCAGGCCAUGCACCAGCUGGCAGCGCCGAAGCUCGUGAGGGAAGCACGUGGUGAAGCCUGUGAGCAGCUCCAGGAACCGCUGCUCCUCACGAGAGCCGCUUAGCUCCCUGGAGUUUACCCAAGUGCAGAGCUGUUGGGAGCGGAACUCUGAACGUGGCCUCAGGAAGGAAUCCAGCCCAGAAAACUGUCAUUAGCGGCCGCCUGCGCUAGGAGUAGAUGUUCACGGGAGGGUAAGACACGAGCUAAAUGGAACAGUGAUGGUAACAACAGUCAAGGUUAACCGAGAACAUUCUCCAUGCCAGCCACUGGGCCAAACCCUUGGGACUCAUGACCUCCCUCAAUACAACAGCCUGGUGAGAUAGAUAGCGGCCCCUUUUCACAGCUGGAUAACCUGAGGCUCAAAGAGGUGAAGUAACCAGUCCGAGAUCACACGGGCUGAGUGGCAGAGCUGAGACCUCCGCCCCAGAGCUCAGCGCACCCCGCCAACCCGCUCUGCCUUGUACUGCUCCUCACGAGAGCCGACCGGCCACAGAAUUUUCCAAACGCGUGUGUGUGCUGGGGGCAGCUUGUGGGUUCGAAAUCCCACAUCUACUACGGAUUAGUUGUGCAGACAACUCCAAGAGGCUGGGAAAAGCAGGUUCAGCUCAAAACGACCCUAUUCAAGAAGCAGAUUCAGGGGCAAGUCCUGGGCAACCAGCCGCUACCAUCACUGAGCCCCACUCCCUCAACUGGCCUGUUUGGUGUCGUCUGGGAAGACCUGCUUCCUAAGCCCUGCAGUCUUGGCUCCGCCUGCUGCCUUCCUGAGCUGCUUCUGGAUUCCAGCCCCGUCAGGCACUAAGUCCAGGAGGGCCCCAGGGAGAAACAGGAUGUCCCAAUGAAAACGCCACUUGACAGAGGAGAGGCCAAAGCUGCUCUGGUGCCUGCGGAGGUCUGAGCCUGUCUUUUGAAUCUCGCGCUUGGGGCACGGUCUACACUGAGACCAAGGCUGUCAGGUCCCUAACACCCCGGGGACUCAGCUGGUGGGACAUCACCGGCUACUUCCCAUCCCGCCCCCAGCGACCCUCCUGGUUCUGACCGCGGCGCCCUCCGCCCCACCCCAACUCCGCGCCUCGAGUCCCCCCAUCCGUCCUCCUGCCGACCCAGGCUUUCCCCCUCCCGGCCCUCAAUCCAAUCCCGGUUUCCCCGCCCCGCCCCCAGUUCUCUGCUGGGCCG